GAAAAAAAUUAAAACCUCACUUGAAAACAAACCAUUUCACGUCAUCAAGCAUCAGACAAGUCACAAAAACAAAAGUCAGAUAUUUCAGCCUGCCUUUUGGUGUUAACCUCCCAUUUAAGGUGACCUUUGGUUUGAAUUGAAAUGACCAUUUCAAAACUAUUAAAAAUGCUUCUAAAAUAUAAAAGUGAUUUUACCAUGUGAUCCAGCAAUUCUACUUUUGGGUAUAUACCCAAAAGAGUUGAAAACAAGAACUCCAACAGAUGUUUGCAUUAUCGCAAAUGUUCACAGCAGCAUUAUUCACAAUAGCUAAAAGGUAGAAACAACUAAAAUGUCCAUAAAUGGAUGAAUUACUGAACAAAAUAUGGUACAUAUAUACAAUGGAAUAUUAUUCAGCCUUAAAAAGAAGGAAAUUCUGGCACAUGCUACAACAUAGAGGAAUCUCAAAGACACUACGCCAAAUGAAAUGAGCCAGACACGAAGGGACACAUAGGAUUCUGCUUACAUGAGGUCCCUCAUGUAGUCAGUUUCACAGAGACAGAAAGUAGAAUCGUGGUUGCCAGGCAUUGGGGCAGCACCAAAAGGAGAGCCUGUUGCUUAAUGAGCAGAGCUUCAAUUUGGGAUGAGGAAAAAGUUCUGGAGAUGGAUGGUGGUGAUGCGUGCACAACAGUGUGAAUGCACUUAAUGCCUGAAUAGUGUACUGACAAAUGGUUAAAACAGUAAAUUGUAUGCUAUGUAUAUUUCACCAGAAAAAAAUUCUAAAAGUGAUUGAUAGCUGCUUUGUGUAAGGAAUUUGAAUAAAUUCAGAGGAAUAUAAAGAAGAAAAACGUUGCCCACAUUCAGUAUUGAUCUUCACCUGAUGUCCCUUUGAUGAUGACAAACGAAUAGCUUACAAAGGGGUGUACUCAGCUGCUCAGAUGCUUGUCACCCGCUGAUGGAGCUUUGCUCUCUGCCCAUGAGCUGCUCACAGCCUCUUGGAGGCCACAGUUAGACCAGAACACGCUGUGCAGUGUGCCAUGGGGACAGGCUAAGAAGCAGAGGUUGGGUGGGGGAGGGUGGCACUGGGGAAAAGGUGACCUGCAGAGGUGCAGCAGCGGAGAGGAAGGACAUGGGGCACACACACACUGCUCACCACCUGCCAGUGUAUGCCUGAGCCCUGCUUCAGCCAGCACCCACGAGGAGAGAAUUCAGACGUGGGCACAGGUUUUACAGGGCGGGAUCUUCCUUUGCAUGACACGCUGCCUCUGAGGUAUUCAUGGCCCCAGUGAGCAGGCAGCCGGGGCUGGGCUCACCAACACAUGGAGGAAGCGUGAGAGUUCAAGGAGAUUGCUUAGGGAGCAGAUUCUCCAGAGCAGAAACGGGCCCCACCUGUACCACAUGUCUCCCUCAAAAGGGGUUAUGCUCAUGAUUCUACAUUCAAACCACUGAAGAAGAUGAUCUGAAAACCAGGCCAAGAAGGAAAAUGGAAGUAAAACAAUACCAACUGGCCCUUAUUUAUGUCAAUACCUGAAGGAUGCUACUCCCUGCUCUCAUGCUUUACCUUCCUCUUGAACAGGGAUGGCAAAUACUUGGCAUGCAUAUUGCUACUGUCUAACCUUCCCCACCUCUUUCCAUGGAACUCCUCCCCAUUUAACUUAGAUAGAGCUUCAGACUCCUUCUCAACACUCCAGUGAACCACAGCCAAUCUACUAAGUUGGUAUGUGAGAUUAAACCUAUUUAAUGCCUGCUCUAAAACCAGUACCAAAUAGUAUUAAUGUGGCGGGUGGGUGGCAAAAGUAGAUAUUCUCACACUAGUAAAAUCCAGCAACAUUUUAGGAGCAGUGGGGAGAAAAGAUGGGAAAGAUGGAGAGAUGAUAGGACAUUCAAAUCUAUAUGGUUUGCAUUUCAAAAUGGAAAUAAUGCAUGUUAAAUAAGAAGCUACUGCUAUACUUGCUCACAAACUGGAUUUCUUCAGGAGUCUGGGCUUUUUUAUCCUGAGAGCUAUAGUCUUUAAGACUCAAAGGAGAUGUUUCCUAUAUAUAACUGUCCUAAUGUUAUAUCUUACCUUAUUGGAAAGUUUUCAAGCUUGGAGUAUUUAUUUCAGUAUUUAUGGGAUCAGAUUCUUCUACCAUACAGGAUACUCCCUGGGAGGAUAUGUCACACAUAUGAGGGAGCAAUAAACCCGUUUAGCAAAUCUUCCAUUUGGCACCUCUAACUCCUGUCCCUGGAAGGGAAUCUCCACUUUCAUUUGCUCCCCCUUCUCCCCUCUCUCCUUCCAUCCUUUUGCUAAUUCCACAAACAUAGAUUGAAUACCUCCUGUAUUUCUGAAACUGUGCCAAGCAGCAGGGGACAAAGAUGAACACAGUAUUGUGUCUGCCCUCAGAGGGCACAUGGGGACUAGGGUGCUGCUUGGGCACAGGUCCAAGGGGCCUUCUCCAGGUGCCGUGGACUGGCAGAGCUGGGCUAAACAGGGCACGCUGGCUGGGUGGCCUGGUGCUGGUCAACAUCCUCUGGACCAGCACGGCUCCCAUCCGAUGGCAGCUGCAAGGAACUUUUAUGCGCUCAGCUUUGAGGAGAGAGGCAAGCCACACAAGAGAAGCUGAGAGCAGUGAUUUAUUUAGAAAAAUGACAACUGCAAGGACGAGUUCUGAAGUCAAGAUGGGAAACCCUUAGAAAGAACUAGAAUGCAUGCAAUUAAUGUUUGCUUAAAUAAGCUACGAGGUAAGGUACCUGAGGGCAGAUGUCUUAUUCAGCUGGACAGUUUCAGGUAGCAUGAUGCCCGUGACAGAAUGAGAAGUGCCAGGCCAACACAGUGGGGAAGAACAGCAGCAAAGCUGAAGAAAUGGAAGAUGGAGGGCAGCACUGAGGUCAGCGGGUGACUUGUGGCUGCAGACUGAAUGAGCCUCAGUGGCCUCCAAAAAGGCAGAUAAGAGGGAUUCCACGGGUGCCUAACAGCACUGAAGGGUGAACUGCCGACUACACGGAAACUCACAUGCCUGCACGGACUGUGAUCUGAAGGGCACCAGAGUCAAGAAUUCACUCUAGCUCCCUUUCUCUGAGGAUCUGGCACUGGGUUUCCACUGCAGUUAUUAAGUGACACAUUAUAGAUCAUGAGAUACUGCACUAUUCAAUAAAUGCAUAAAGGAUGGACUAUGGGAGAGCCAUCCAUUCUCUGCCUGGAUAAAAUAUUUAAGGAUUAUAUAUUAUGUACCAGGCACUAUCAGGCACUGGGGAUACAACAAUGAGCAAAUGCAGACUCUCCCUUCAAACUUCUGAGUCUAGUGGAGGAGACAGGUAAGUCGUCAUCCGCAUGAUGAGCCCUGUUCAGAGGUGAACACAGGGCCCACUAUGAGGCUUUUCAGAAGGGCGUUAUACAAAGCUAGGGGAAAACGUGCUAAGUGACCUCUAAGCUGCCACCUAGGGGCUUGAAAGGCAGAGAUGCAGGGUGGAAGGAACGGUGUGAGCAGAGGAAGGAGGCAGGAGAGCGAGCACGGCCCCCUCUCACCCCCAAGGAACACAGAGGUGCCUGCAAGAGGGGUAGGUGCUGAAAGAUUAUUCUGCAGAAGCAGGCAAUGCAAGACCUGCUUAGAGGGUUUCAUAAGCCAUGUAAGGAGUUUGGAAUGUCUACAAAGAACAAGGAGUAGCCAGUGGUUUCUGACACUGAUAUUUGUUUGGUCACCAGACUUAAAAUAAUCAUUUCAAUUGCUCUCUAACCAUACUGACCCCAGUGUCUCUGCUCCCUCUUCUUUUUUGGGGGGCAUGUAACAGUCAUUUCUAUUUCCUUUCAUUUUUGUAUUAAGGUAUUAUUGAUAUACAAUAACAGGAGUAACACCGUGGUUACUAGAUUCCCCUCAUUAUCAAGUCCCCACCACAUACCCCAUUACAGUCACUGUCCAUCAGCAUAGUAAGAUGCUAUACUUGUCUUCUCUGUGCUAUACUGCC